GCAAAUCCACAGAGCUGUGGGGAUCCCUCUCCUCCUCAGCCAGGGCUAGAGGGCAAGACCAGCCCUUGGGUGUCAUGCAGAGAACAUUGUCAUAAUGACUUUCAUUCAUGAGUGUGCAGCCCAGUUUUCCUGCCUCAAACACUG
ensembl:scaRNA small Cajal body-specific RNA 20